ensembl:lncRNA
CACCCCAGGUGGGACUCGAACCCACAAUCCCUGGCUUAGGAGGCCAGUGCCUUAUCCAUUAGGCCACUGGGGCUUCAAGAAGCAUGUGAUCGGCCGCCAUUUGCGUGAAGCCCCAGUGGCCUAAUGGAUAAGGCACUGGCCUCCUAAGCCAGGGAUUGUGGGUUCGAGUCCCAUCUGGGGUGAAUUAACAAUUUCAGCAAGGGUCACCCCGAAUUAUUCCUGCGCCCUCUACUCCAAACCGGCCGCCACGGUUUAUGGAUGCUGCUUGAAGCUAUUGCUGGCUCCCAAGCCCUGCCACGUGGCUGCGGCGCCCUGGCCCUAGCCUGCCCUGCUGGACCCACUGCUGCUUUUCUGGGUUUCCGACUUCAGUUUUCCCUAAAGCCAUCCUCCAGGCCUUGCCUCCGUGAAGCUUACAUUGUAGUGAGAGAGAAGACAGUAAAGAACUAAAUGAACAAACGAGAUGAUUUCAAAAUAAAGAGAGCCAUGGGAAACUGUUAGUUGAGUAGCGAGAGAAAGCCUCUGGGUGGAGAACAGCAGAAGGAUCACUAGCAAUGCUGUCACCUUCAGAGGACUUCUUUACUGUCUUGGCUGAUACACUACCUACCUCAUAGGGUUCUUGUGAGGAGUAAAGGAGGUGAUAUUUCUGUGAACUGAUUAGAACAAUUCCUGGAAGCUCGUAUGUGCUCUAUAAGAUCAGGCAUGGUCGUCCUCACUUACCAAUAGACUAGUUUGCCCCCUUAUUCAAGGAUUGUGUGAUACUCUCCACACUAGGUGUGAACCCCUAACUGAAGGCUCAAAUUUCAUCUUAGAUUUCUUCUCUUUCAUUCAUAGUGAAUUCAUAUUAAGGUUCUUCUAAAUGCCAAGCACAGUGCUAAGCCCAGGGAAUAUGCAUAUGUCUAAGGCGUAGUGCUGGCGCUCAACAAAGAAUCUUUUAAAAUCUUCUAGAUCUCCCUAAUCUUCUGGCGUUAGAGCAGGAACAGCAAAUGCCUGAUGGUAAGGGUGGAGUGGGAGGUGCAGUUAGCAGGAUGCUGUGGCUGUAACGGGGGAAGGAGCACAGCGUACCAAGAGAGAACCCCGGAGUAAGAGGCUGCAUUUGAGCUUGUGUGCAGCGGGAAUCCAGGGGAGGGCUUUAAGCAGAGGAGUAAAAUGACCAUAUUUGCAUUUUGAAAAGAUCCCCUUGGCAACAAUGUAAAGAAUGGACUGGAGGUGGGUGAGAGUACAGGCAGGGGACCACUUAGGGAGAGAUGGGUGGCUCAGGGAGGAGAUUACCAAAGCCUGAACAGAAGCAAUAGCAGGACCCCAAGAGGAAGAAAGUAAAGAUGUUCAGGAAAUGGAAUCUGUGGGACGUGCAGCCCAAGAUGGUGCCCAGGAUUUGGGGGGAUGGUGGUGCCACACACCCUGGGGAAGAACAUGAGCUCAGGGUUGAUCCAAGUGCCUGGUUUAUUUUUCCCCACAAUCUAUCCUUUUUUUCAUCAUAGUUUCUAGUUUCUCCUUUGGUGUUAUGCCUAGAAAAACUCUCACUUGAAGAUUAUGUAAAUAUUUACCUACAGUUUUUCCUGUUGUUUCUUGUGGGAUUUUUAAAAAUAUUUAAAUCUGUAACUGGAAUUUAUUUUGAUUUUUAGUGUAGAGUAGGAUCUGUUCUUAUUGCUUUACAAAUAUUUAAACACUUAGAUCAGUGCCUUUCCCCAGUGAUACAAAAUGCUACUUAGAUACAGGUUAUGGACUUUUUCUGAAGGUUCUUUUCUGUUCCGUUGAUCUAAUUAUUUUUAGCUUUUUAUGCAACUUAACUGUGAGUACUAAUUUAUAACCCAAUUAAUUUUUAAAUAUUUUUCACUUUUUUUCUUAUCUCUAUCCUGAUUUUUCUGUAAUCAAAAUGUAUUGUGUAAUCAAAGUUUUUAUAUCACGCAACUCAAUGCUAUGAAUGUUUUAAUAUGAAAUGUUCAUAUUAUUUUUAUCUUCCAAGCAGUCUGUAAUUACAUACUUUAUUGCUCAUUGAUUCAAGAUUUAGGAGAGUGUGUUUCAAUUUCCAAGUGGCUGCAUUUUUGUAUGGUUUUGUGUUAUUGUAGUUUAUACUUUGAGUAUUAAUUGUUGGUUUUAUGUAAUAUUUGCUCUGGGAUUAGUUGAUGUGUGCUAUAGUUUCUUAUUCUUUUUUUUUUUUUUUACUUUGAAGCUUUCUUUAUAGUCUAAUAUGUUGUCAGUUUCCAGUUAUUCUGUUCGUAUGACUUAGAACUUACUACAUAAGCUAUUAAAUUAGCCUUUUUAUUACAGUCUGCUAUAGUCUCAUUUGUUUUGCAAACAUCAGAAUUUUUACAACUGCUAUGUUUCUUUUUUCUUUGUCUUUUUUUUGGUGAGUGAGAUUGGCCUUGAGCUAACAUCUGUGCCAGUCUUCCUC